rnacentral:rRNA from 1 species
UUCCGGUGAUCAUGCAGAACAUGACUGCUAUCGGACUGAUACUAAGCCAUGCGAGUCAUUGUAGCAAUACAAGGCAGACGGCUCAGUAACACGUAGUCAAUCUAACCUAUGGACGAGGAUAACUCGGGAAACUGAGAAUAAUACUCGAUAGACCAUAAUGCCUGGAACGGUUUAUGGUUCAAAUGAAUUUCGCCAUAGGGUGGGACUGCGGUCUAUCAGCUUGUUGGUGAGGUAAUGGCCCACCAAGGCUAUAACAGAUACGGGCUCUGAGAGGAGAAGCCCGGAGAUGGGUACUGAGACACGGACCCAGGCCCUAUGGGGCGCAGCAGGCGAGAAAACUUUGCAAUGUGCGAAAGCACGACAAGGUUAAUCCGAGUGAUUCCUGCUAAAGGAAUCUUUUGUUAGUCGUAACACCACUGAUGAAUAAGGGGUGGGCAAGUUCUGGUGUCAGCCGCCGCGGUAAAACCAGCACCUCAAGUGGUCAGGAGGAUUAUUGGGCCUAAAGCAUCCGUAGCCGGCUCUGUAAGUUUUCGGUUAAAUCUAUAUGCUCAACAUAUGGGCUGCCGGGAAUACUGCAGAGCUAGGAAGUGGGAGAGGUAGACGGUACUCCGUAGGAAGGGGUAAAAUCCUUUGAUCUAUGGAUGACCACCUGUGGCGAAGGCGGUCUACCAGAACACGUUCGACGGUGAGGGAUGAAAGCUGGGGGAGCAAACCGGAUUAGAUACCCGGGUAGUCCCAGCUGUAAACUAUGCAAACUCAGUGAUGCAUUGGCUUGUGGCCAGUGCAGUGCCGCAGGGAAGCCGUUAAGUUUGCCGCCUGGGAAGUACGUACGCAAGUAUGAAACUUAAAGGAAUUGGCGGGGGAGCACCACAAGGGGUGAAGCCUGCGGUUCAAUUGGAUUCAACGCCGGG